rnacentral:misc_RNA from 1 species
UCUCCGUUGGUGAACCAGCGGAGGGAUCACUACCGAGUUUACGACUCCCAAACCCCUGUGAACAUACCAUUUGUUGCCUCGGCGGUGCCUGCUUCGGCAGCCCGCCGGAGGACCCAAACCCUUGAUUUUAUACAGUAUCUUCUGAGUAAAUGAUUAAAUAAAUCAAAACUUUCAACAACGGAUCUCUUGGUUCUG